GACGAACGCUGGCGGCGUGCUUAACACAUGCAAGUCGAACGGAAAGGCCCUGCUUUUGUGGGGUGCUCGAGUGGCGAACGGGUGAGUAACACGUGAGUAACCUGCCCUUGACUUUGGGAUAACUUCAGGAAACUGGGGCUAAUACCGGAUAGGAGCUCCUGCUGCAUGGUGGGGGUUGGAAAGUUUCGGCGGUUGGGGAUGGACUCGCGGCUUAUCACCUUGUUGGUGGGGUAGUGGCUUACCAAGGCUUUGACGGGUAGCCGGCCUGGGAGGGUGACCGGCACCAUGGGGCUAGGGGUCGGCCCAGUCCCCUACCGGGGGCAACAGGUGGGGACUUUUCCCAAUGGGCCGGAGCCCGAGUCAACCACCCCCGGGUUGGGAUGCCCGCCUUUCGGGUUGUAAACGCAUUUGGCUUGUACCAAGCCGUGGUGACGGUAAUUGGGUAAAAAGCACCGGCUUACUUCGUG
rnacentral:rRNA from 1 species